rnacentral:hammerhead_ribozyme from 1 species
AUCCAGCUGACGAGUCUCAAGUAGGUCGAAACGUGCAUCCUGGAU